AUAUUGGCGAGAGACCGAUAGCGAACAAGUACCGUGAGGGAAAGAUGAAAAGCACUUUGGAAAGAGAGUUAAACAGUACGUGAAGUUGUUGAAAGGGAAACGCUUGAAGUCAGUCGCGUUGUCUGGAACUCAGCCUUGCUUGCAUGGUGUACUUUCCAGUUAACGGGUCAACAUCAAUUUUGGUUGGUGGAUAAAGGUAGAGGGGAUGUGGCAUCUUCGGAUGUGUUAUAGCCCUUUGCUGCAUACACUGACUGGGAUUGAGGUCUGCAGCACGCCGUCAUGGCCGGGGGUUCGCCCUACGUAACGUGCUUAGGAUGCUGGCAUAAUGGCUUUAAACGACCCGUCUUGAAACACGGACC
rnacentral:rRNA from 1 species